UACGUAGGGUGCGAGCGUUGUCCGGAAUUAUUGGGCGUAAAGAGCUUGUAGGCGGUUUGUCGCGUCUGCCGUGAAAAUUCGAGGCUCAACCUCGAACUUGCGGUGGGUACGGGCAGACUAGAGUGUGGUAGGGGAGACUGGAAUUCCUGGUGUAGCAGGUGAAAUGCGCAGAUAUCAGGAGGAACACCGAUGGCGAAGGCAGGUCUCUGGGCCACUACUGACGCUGAGAAGCGAAAGCAUGGGGAGCGAACAGG
rnacentral:rRNA from 1 species